rnacentral:sRNA from 1 species
UCCUAGCCCCGAUAGGAAUGGUUACCCCGCAGCAGGCAUGGAGACGUGCGGCUUUACUCAGGGCGGGAGCACAGGCGCGAGGAGUAUGAAUGGAUAGCGGGAAACAGC